GCCAGACUCCUACGGGAGGCAGCAGUGGGGGAUAUUGCACAAUGGGGGGAACCCUGAUGCAGCGACGCCGCGUGGGUGAAGGAGCGUUUCGGCGCGUAAAGCCCUAUCGGCAGGGAAGAAGGAGGACGGUACCUGACUAAGAAGCCCCGGCUAACUACGUGCCAGCAGCCGCGGUAAUACGUAGGGGGCAAGCGUUAUCCGGAUUUACUGGGUGUAAAGGGGGCGCAGACGGCAGCGCAAGCCAGGAGUGAAAGCCCGGGGCCCAACCCCGGGACUGCUCUUGGAACUGCGCGGCUGGAGUGCAGGAGGGGCAGGCGGAAUUCCUGGUGUAGCGGUGAAAUGCGUAGAUAUCAGGAGGAACACCGGUGGCGAAGGCGGCCUGCUGGACUGCGACUGACGUUGAGGCCCGAAAGCGUGGGGAGCAAACAGGAUUAGAUACCCUCGUAUUU
rnacentral:rRNA from 1 species